rnacentral:rRNA from 1 species
AUUGAACGCUGGCGGCAUGCCUUACACAUGCAAGUCGAACGGCAGCGCGGGAGCAAUCCUGGCGGCGAGUGGCGAACGGGUGAGUAAUAUAUCGGAACGUGCCCAGUAGUGGGGGAUAGCCCGGCGAAAGCCGGAUUAAUACCGCAUGAGACCUGAGGGUGAAAGCGGGGGAUCGCAAGACCUCGCGCUAUUGGAGCGGCCGAUAUCAGAUUAGCUAGUUGGUGGGGUAAAGGCCUACCAAGGCAACGAUCUGUAGUUGGUCUGAGAGGACGACCAGCCACACUGGGACUGAGACACGGCCCAGACUCCUACGGGAGGCAGCAGUGGGGAAUUUUGGACAAUGAGCGCAAGCCUGAUCCAGCAAUGCCGCGUGCAGGAAGAAGGCCUCGG